CUUCAUCGGACCUUCUCCUCUCUCUCUUGGCGACUCAAGAAUAUCAUGCCAGAUCUCUCCCCAGAUGCCGUUUCAUGACCAGAUCUGUGAGGAUUUUGCCAGAUCGAUGAAGGUCUGCAACCCUUGGUGGAUGAAAGAGAGUGAUGGGGGUGAUGAUCCGGUUACAGGCUUCUAUACGGUGUGACAAUGGUGGUCCUUAACAACCACCAUACAUUGUUGACGGUUCGAUGGUUAAAAUGAGGAGAAAGACAAUGCUAGAAAACCCUAGCCGCCACCUCCCGCGGUGGUAGCUAGGGUUCAGGCGAAGUCCCGACGAAGCUCCAGUAGAGAAGAUUAGACUUCCAGCGAAGGUAAAACCAUUAGAAGCUGGACCACCAGUGUAGGUAUCAUCUUCAUCUUCAAGACUUAUAAUUUGCUUCUGAUUGUUUGUAGGCCAGGUAAUUUAAUACAAAAGACAAAAUUAUAUGAAGAAGAUGACGGUUAUUUGUGAUGUUUUUCGACUCAUAUAGCAGGCCAUUGUGCAGUUUAGGAUUUAUUUCAGAGUUUAUCAGUUUUAGCCUUUGUUAGAGCUGAAGGUGAGAUGUGUCUUUGUUGUUUACAGGAGGUUGCAUUUGUGUAGCAGGAAAGUGUGAAUGCUUUAGGGGUUGUCCAUGUAAAAUAGUUUGAAUUUAGUAGAAGAUUAUAUAUUCUUUGUUACAUGUUUUAACUGACGGAGACUUAAUUUUGUAGCAAAGUGCACAACACAAUAGUUGAAACCUUGGUGGACAUGCCAACGAUCAUGGUUAGUGGACAUGCCAUUUAUCUGGAUUGCUACAUAGAGUUGAUCAACCAGGAUCGGUUAUUUCUCAAACCUUUUAUUGAUUGUCAGUUUUUCUAAAAUGGUUUAUUUUCUACUAGUACAGAAUUGUAGUUUAUGGAUGCUAAUUUCUUUGUCUUGCAUGUACAUGUCUCCCAUAUGCUGAAAAUUGGUGUCUAAUAUGUUAACUACAUUGAAAGAUUAGACCAAGAGGGACCAUCACCAACCGAAACUCUGAAUAGACUGUAUCAGGAGUUGUGGUCCAACAAUAGGGACGUUUCAAAGUUAUUGAAGUAGAUUUGAGUCGAAGAUCCCUUCUACUCCAAGGGAGAGAAUACUGCAAUCUCAGGUGAUCCAGCUACAUCAAAGGUACUAAGAGUCAACCCCCACACCACCGAUAGGUGGCUUUGGGAGGUGUGUCCUUCAGGGUCUUUUUCAAUCAGCAACAUUAAGAAAGCUUUGUUGUCGUUUAAUAGAGUGCAACAUGCUUAUGUGUUAGAGUGGAACAAUCAGGUUCCUAAUAAGGUUGAUGAGAUUCCCCAACAAGAAAAUAUAUCCAAUGAUCAAAAUUGAAACCCUCAAAGCAAUUUCGAGAGCAAAUUCUCGGAUCUGGAUAUCGAUUUCAGUGAUGAAGACACUGUCGUAUCUUUUGAAAAAGAUUACCAGGUGGUGAGUAUGAUGGAUAUUAUUGGGUACUCACCUAAUGAAGCUUCAGAUGCUGUUAGCAGAUGUGGAACAAAGUGAAGUUGGUGUUUUGGUACGACAAUGAGUGGGGUUACAGGUAAAAAGUAUGUCUUGCUCGGUCAUUCAGGCCCGUCUCACUGCUGGUUGUGGGGAUUUGAUACCACAACGAGUUUCCUCGUACAAAUAUGGGAAAUAAAGAACAUUGAUUUGUGCAGCAAUCAGUUGUUGGAUCUGAUACAACGAGUGUUAAAAUUGAUUUUUGUGGUGUUGGAUCUGAUAGAGUAUAUGGCACUGGUCGCAGCCUCUAUCUGAAAGAGCAUAACGUUUUGAGUUUUCUUUUAUCUUGAAAUGAUAGUGUAGAAAUGAACUGAUGGUUUGAUAUUUGAACCAGACUAUGGCUGCUCUAUUGUCAUGGCUUUAAGCAAACAUGGGAAAUAAAUAAAAAUUGGUUGG